UACGUAGGGUGCGAGCGUUAAUCGGAAUUACUGGGCGUAAAGCGUGCGCAGGCGGCUUGCCAAGUCAGAUGUGAAAGCCCCGGGCUCAACCCGGGAACGGCGUUUGAAACUGGCAGGCUAGAGUUUGGCAGAGGGGGGUGGAAUUCCACGUGUAGCAGUGAAAUGCGUAGAGAUGUGGAGGAACACCGAUGGCGAAGGCAGCCCCCUGG
rnacentral:rRNA from 1 species